rnacentral:rRNA from 1 species
CCGGUCAGGACAGACGGCACGGUGCCGGUGGAUGAGGCUAGGUGGGUUUGUUUGAAGGGGUCAAAAUUCGCGCUCGCUCGAGAAGACAGGCAGGAAGGGAGGGUGGCGUCCGGCUGCGCUGCCGCGCCCGAGGGGCAGGGAAGGCGUACCUCGGCGGCCGCGGAGGCGGGGAUGGCGGCGGCGUCGACGUGGACGCCCAUGACCUGUCGCAGUUCGAGAGGGGCCGCGGCGUCGGAGGCCGCAGCAGGGACGGCGAGAGGCCGGAGCUGCGGCUGGCGUUGCACGAGCUGCAGAGGAAGGCGUGGCAGGCGAAGAAGGGGCCGGUGGGCCAGAGGGAGCUGGGCGAGCUGCAGGAGGUCCGGCGCAAGCGGCUGCGCGAGCCGGAGAAGGGCGUCGAGCGGCCGAGGGAGGAGGCGCUGCUGCCGGCGCAGCACGAGAGGCCCUGGCCGCUGCUGCGGCACCGGGAGCAGGAGCGCCGCUGCCUGGACAGCCACCAGCUGCAGCUGCGCCUGUCCGGGCUGAGCGGCGACGAGCUGGCGGAGCGCGGCCCGCUGUCGCUGCCGCCUGGCCGUCGCGAACGCGAGGUCCAGUGCGCCAAGUGCACGCCGCCGCAGCGCGACCCCUACGCCCACCGCGUGCGCGAGACGCUGCCGCGCCCGAGGUGGUUCAAGGAGCAGCGCCGCCGCGCCAAGCGCGCUCCCGACCUCGGCCUCCGGCGCCGCCUCGGCCACACCCUGGCUGCCCUCGAGGAGCCGGGCUCCUUGGGCGGCGCCCACCACUGAGGCAAGCUGCGGCAGGAUAGCUGGCUGCUGCUGCAGCGCGCCGAACCGGGCAUGCCGCGCCGCUCGCUGCCCGUUCCUGUGCUCGCCGAGCGCUCCCUCACGAAGGUGCAGUCGCUGCGCGCGCACCUCCGCGAGUCCCGCGCCGAGCGGCGCCUGCGGCCGCAGUUCAAGUGCUGGAAGCUUCAAGAGCGGCGGAAGUAGACCGCGCGGUUCCACUUCCGGUUGGUUUGGUGGGGGCUGCUCUGGCACUUCUACCACAUGAGGUACUUGUAGUCGCGCGAGGAGCUGGGCGGCGACGGCCGCCCCAUGACCCCGUUGCACACGCACGGCCACAUGCACCGCGAGCGGCGCCCGCUGGAGCAGCCCGCCGGCGAACGCCUCUGCCGUAGGGACCAGUCCUUCUCGUUCGCCCCCCACCUGCUCCUCAUGCACGCCAGCAUGCAGCUGGACGUCCUCGACGCCGCGCCCCUCCCGCCGCAGUGCCGCCCCGCCGCGCCGCACUCGCGCAAGUGCCUGACCGCCGCCGACCCCGUGAGCCUCCACCUGAAGCCCACCCCGCCCGGGCUGCGGCACGACGGCGAGAGCACCGCAGACGAGCCCUCGUGCGUCGGCACGAAGGACGACGGGAUGCCGCGGCCCCUGCUCUCCGCCGCCGCUCCCAAGUUCCACAAGCAGCGCCACGGCCUCCUCCGCCACGGGGCCAAGUCUCUCCUCUACCUGCACUAUGACACCGUCCUGCUCGUGUGACCGACGUGGAGUCAGCCCUUUGACAUUUAAACCCCUAGCGCUCUUUAGCAGGUGUAAACGUGGCGCUCCAGGUGCUCUUUAACCUACUCUGCUGCACGAUGCUAGCUAUUCCUUGCUGUACGAUGUUGAUUGUUCUGCCUACAACGGUGACGAUCCCUUUUUACAACGUAUGCAACUCUGUUUUACGACUUUUUUUUACUUCUACCUGUCAUGGCCAAAGAGCCUCCGGCCGCGAGAAGCCACAAAAAAAAUCGUUGGAGAUGUUACCCGAACUCGAGGAAAAGCCGCGGAAUUCGCUGGCUUUUCCAACGACCGCGGGUAUCGUCGUGGAACACCCGGCCGGUCGCUUCCCUUUUGCGUCGAUUGUUUUAAGCCGUCUUUUUGCGUUUUUCACCGAAGAAGUCCUCAGUUUGAGCUCAGCGGGCGCUUCCGCUCGGAAGAAGAUCGAAUCGAUUGGUUGUGUCG